UUCCUGGUGGUAUGUGCCUCCAUUUUGUUUGGGAAGCGGUUUCCACUCUUAAGGCAGCAAAGUAUUUUCAGAAGCUACGUGAUCUUUGCAGUUUUGAUUAUCAUCUCUGUGUACUCAUUCUUAUACGACAAAGCUGUAAAUGGGAAACCUGAAGUAACGAGCUUGGUUGCUAAUGCUGAAUUUACUUUGAUGUCACUGAGCUUGUCCAAACUGAUCAAGUCUGGAUAUGAGAUUGGUAUGUUUGCCUAUUUCCUAGGCUGCUUAACCAUUCAACUGGUGACCAUCAACUGGGCGCUGAUUUUGGUCGCCAUAGUCUUCGGUUGUCCACUCUUUAUUAUGCAUUCCUCUUCAGAUUCCCCACUAGAUGCUGGUAAUGAAGGUCAACUUUUCCAUUCCUCUUUGGAUUCCCAACCACAUGUUGGUAGUGCUGGUCAACAUGUCGUAGACAUACCAAAUGAAGAAAGCAAACUAGUGUCCUUUGAUAGUGGUUACGAUAGUGAUUAUGAUUAUUAUGGAAGUGCAGACCCGACGCAAAAAGGAUUUUGACACCGGGGUGGUUAAAGCUCGAAACGACUCCACAUGUGUAAAUCAAUAAAUAAAACUGAUUUUUUUUAUAAAAAGAAGAAAUAAGUAAUAUAAUUAGUUUGAGUAUAAGAGAGACUAAUUGACUCAUAAAUUUGUUAAAACUGAAAGUCCGAAUAAAUAAAAAUCCAAAACAUGUGUUUGUCUUUUUAUGAUAUUACUUAAUGUAUAAAUAAACUAACUUGUCAAACAAAUCAAUAUACUUGUUCCUAGUUUAGUGUAAGUCAUAUUAAAUUUGUUCUUAAUUUUGGAGGGUUUAACUAUGUAAAAUCUAAUCGAAGAACUAUUUGGUUCUACAAGUUAUGGUUAAACUCUAGGGAAGACUACCCAGGAUUGCAUGAUCAAGAUGUUCUCAACAAGAUCAAAACAGACCCUCUCAUAUCUCAGAAGAAGUUGAAGAUUAGAUUUCUCAACACACGCUAUUUUGGAGGGUUUUGUCAGUCUAGCAAGGAUUUUAAGAAGGUAUCAACUAUGCAUGCCAAUUGCUGUGUGGGUUUAGAAAACAAAGUGAAUGAUCCUAGGAUUUUGCUUGAGGAUUGGAGGAAGUAUAUGGCAUUGUCUGAAGAUCAGAGAAAUAAAUCACAUCCUUCCUGGAGUGUACCACAAACUUGCAGGUAAUGUAAAUAACUUCUGUUACAUAUCAAUUCAUUAGGUGAAAAAAUUCAUUACAAAAUUCCAAUUACUUACCAUUUUGCAUCACAUAAAUCAUCUAAUUAAGGCUUCAAUUUAUGUUGCUAUGAUUUCUGUAUAUUUAUCUUUUCUCUACAUCAUUCACAUCAUGCAGAACAUCAUUUGAACGUACAAGACAAAGGAGGCAGGGUAAAGGGAAGUUGUGACAGAGGUUGCAUAUUACUGUGUGAUGCUUGUAUCAAUAGGUAUGGGAAAUUAUCUGCAAUUAUAGGCUACCUUAUAAAAGCAUUGAACAUUAAUUUUACAUUUGAUUUAUUUGUUGUAAGUUGUAACUAGCUUGUUGUCUUUCAAUUCACUCCCCAACAAAAGAAAAGAAGAAGCCUUGUCUAAAAUGGGCUUUUGUUUUUACUUCAAAAUGAUAUGAUAAUUUCCAAUAUUAAUAUUUUCCCCAAGAUGUAUCAUUUAAAAGUGCAAACAAAUUAAUAAGAAUAUCUAUGUGAAUCAUGUACAAAGAAAACUUCUGCUUUCAUCUAUAAUUAUUAAAUUCAAACAGAACAGAGGAGUUCCUUAUUACAAGAGAGAAUCCUUUUGCUUACCUACAAUAUUAUUGCACCAUGUUCUUGGACUAGAUGUUCCCUCCUUUCUCUUCUAUUAAACAAGUGGAUAAUUAUAUAUUUAAUUACUACUUGUAGAUUAUAUUUUUACUUAAUUACUUACACUCUAUCCUGAUUUUGUCAAGUUUAUCAAUUGGUUUUGAAGGUUGGGGAACAAUUUGCUCAAGUUUAGGAUGACAGCUAAAGAUUUUAUGUUGACAAGCCAAUUCUUUUGGGUUGGAAAAAGAUUAUAGAAGUGUUUAACAAAUCGAAAAUGCCGGACAAAGAAAAAAAUGUUCAAACUCUCAGUGAUGUAAAUUUUACAAUUGUGAAAUUCAAUAGUUUUUUACCUUUUUUUCAAAUUAUAUUCUUGUCAUUUUUCAUGUGUAUUUUUUUUAAUAUUUUACAUUUUUUAGUUUACAGUUUAUGCGAAUUUCUCUUAAACUGUAAAACUAUAUGUUCAUAAUUUGAAAAAAAAAAUUAAAAAAGGCAAUUCCCCUCUUAAGAAUAUGACUGUAGGUUCUAAAUAUAAAAAUAGUGCCGUAAUAAAAGUAAAAUUCAAUAAAUGAGCAAUUUAGUAAAAAAAUUACUACAAUGUUCCAUCAAAGCAAAAGGGCGUGUCAUUACUCUUAUUUCUUCAUUUUUAAGUACACCGUAUUGGCUAUUAGACCCAAAAAAAACACGAAAUUGGCUUAGAUGGAGAUGGUGCUCUGGGAACCACAUUGGCUAUAACUUCAAUGAGAGUAGGAGACCAAGUAAAACAGCAAUGUGAGAAGGACGCUUUGAGGGACUUGAUGUCCAUAAUGUAGGUAUUGAUCUCUGCUACUCCAACCUACACUCUCUAGUCACUAUUAUAGCAAAAGUUUGUUUUUAGAUUUAUUCAAUAAAUGAUGUAUGUUACCAUUUUAAUGACCACAUACAUCAUUUAUUGAAUGAAUCUAAAAAACUUACUUUUACUUAUAAUAGUGAUACGAGGGUUAAAGUGUGAGUGCAUCACAAUGCGCGUGGUGGCGGUCUAUACCUACCAUUACCUUAAAAUAAACCAAACAACCGUUAUAUUAAUAUAGUUUUUCGGAAGACUUAUUGACUUGAGGUCUGCGUUCUAAGCAUAAAAUUAAGAAUGAAGAAGGGCAAUUCAUUGGAGUGCAGCCCCAGCGAGGUGUUAUGGCGAGUCGAUCUUCCUCCUCCUCUUCCUUCACCUACGAUGUGUACCUCAGUUGCGGAGCCUCUGAAUCUGAUACUCGAACAUUGGGUUUCAUUGGCAAUCUCUACAAAGCUCUCUCUGACGACAAAGGAAUCCUCACCUGCUUUUUUGACACACUUCGCAGUGGGGAUGAAAUCAUGUCAUCACUUUACAAAGCAAUUGAAAGUUCCAGGAUUGCCAUUGUUGUGAUCUCUGAGAAUUAUGCUUCUUCUUCAUUUUGCUUGGAUGAACUCGUCUACAUCCUUAAGCGCCGCGAGGAAAAGGGUCUGUUGAUAUUGCCUAUUUUCUAUAGAGUGGAACCUUCUGAUGUGCGGUAUCAGAAAGGGAGUUUUGCAGAAGCUUUUGUCAGGCUUGAGAAUAGUGAGUUAGUGAUGAAAUGGAGGAACGCUCUGAAACAAGUAGCAGCUUUGAAUGCCUUCCAUUUCAAACGCGGGUACCAUACCUCUCUUACUAAUUUUUUUAUCUACGGAUAUAUAUUAUAUAUAUAUAUGUAUGAUGAAUAAUAUUUCAAUUUGUGCAUAAAACAAACACACCCCACCGUCCCACGUAUCAGAUAUAGGAAAAGAACAAAAAAUGUAAUAGAAAUAAAAGAAAAUGUGUGGUGAAAAAAAGUUGAAUAUGUAUAAAUCACUACUCGUUCAUUGACAUAUAUUCUAGCACGCAAUUGAAUAAUUAAGAAGUAAACCACAAUAAGCCAAUAAAAUCACACUUUUCAUCCUAAACUUUAAGGAAUGAUUGUAUAAGAGCUCACCAAUAUCUAUUAUCAUUGGAGCAUAUUUUUAAUUUCAACAUGGCUAGUGAGGGUAUGAGAAAGUAGAUACUCAAUUUAGUCAUGAAAAAUGUGUUUGCAUUUAUUAUUGCUUAAUGUAAAAGGUUUAAAUAAACUUGCAAUUAGUAAAAUAAUUUUUUUAUAUAAACGUUUAAGAGUUGUUGGGUUUAAAUAAAAAUUAAUAAAAUGACGUAGAUGAUGUGACAUUAUUGGGAGUUGUAAAAAGUAAAAUGUAAAUACUUUAGCAUGGUUAAAGAUGCUCUAAGUAACUUCACUUAUAUAUUAUUCGGGUUUGUCUAAAUGACCAUAAGAAAAAUUUGUGCUAAAUUACCAUAGUUCUAGGUGGACCAAUGACAUUUAAGCUAUUCGCGGGUUGGAAGAAGAACUUAUGAUGAUAUUAUCUUCAAGAGUAUCUCCAAUGCAAGGUUCUUAGUUCUUAUUUUUGAGUUAAGAACUAAGAACUGAGUUCUUAACCAUUGGAGGUGCUGACAUGGAGUUCUUAGUUUUUAAAAAUAAGAACUCAGUUCUUAUAUAAGGAGUUUUACUUUUUGAGUUCUUAGCAUAAAAAAUUAUUUUUUCUCUCUCAUCCAAAUUACUUUAUUACUUUAUGAGUUUUGUUUUAUUACUUUAUGAAAAUAAAAAAUAUAAAUAAUGUGGUUGGUGAGACCAAAUGAAUAGUGAUAAAAACUAAGAACUAAGAACUCAUGGUUGGAGCAAAAUUGCUUGAGAGUUGCUUAAGCACAUGUCGCAAUACGGGCCCACAUGAAUAGUGCUAAGAACUAAGAUUUAAAAAUUAGCAUUAGAGAUGCUCUUAGUGUCUAACUUAGUGGAUUGUUUUGCUUGCUUGCUUCCUGACUUAGGGAGCCAUUUUUUAUUUUUGUGGAGUUUUUAUAGGUUGUUCUUUGUUGGGUACUGUUUUGGUGGGCUUUUGUUCUUCAACUCUGUAAAGGUUCUGGUCCUCUUUUUAUUUGGGUUGCUUCUUUUUGUCCUUUGUUUGGGUUUCGGAGUUUUUCAUGAUGAUAUGAAAUCAUUUUACUUUCAAAAAAAUUAUUAUUAUUAUUAUUGUAUUUUUGAACUCAUUUUAGUGAUCUACCUACUAUGAUAGUAGAUUUAACUCAAAUUUUUCUAGCAUCAUUCACAUGACUCCAUAUUAUUCAAUACUCUUUUCUUUUUCCCUUUCAGGAGUGGAAAUGAAAGGGACUUCAUUAUGAUUGUCGUUGAAGAAGUCUCUAAGAUGAUUGCUUCUCAAGUUAUGUUACGGGCUAAAGGGCGAGCUGAGAUGGUGUGGAGACUUGUUGGUCUUGCAUCAAGUGUAGUUGGCAUGUUAUGUCAUGCUUUGAGCCCUUCUUUCACACGUUUAAUUCGUGGGUGGAACUUUUUGAAGCUUUCUCUUUACUGUGUAUUUUUCCUGGUGGUAUGUGCCUCCAUUUUGUUUGGGAAGCGGUUUCCACUCUUAAGGCAGCAAAGUAUUUUCAGAAGCUACGUGAUCUUUGCAGUUUUGAUUAUCAUCUCUGUGUACUCAUUCUUAUACGACAAAGCUGUAAAUGGGAAACCUGAAGUAACGAGCUUGGUUGCUAAUGCUGAAUUUACUUUGAUGUCACUGAGCUUGUCCAAACUGAUCAAGUCUG
rnacentral:lncRNA from 1 species